GACGAACGCUGGCGGCGUGCUUAACACAUGCAAGUCGAACGGAAAGGCCCUGCUUUUGUGGGGUGCUCGAGUGGCGAACGGGUGAGUAACACGUGAGUAACCUGCCCUUGACUUUGGGAUAACUUCAGGAAACUGGGGCUAAUACCGGAUAGGAUCUCUUGCUGCAUGGUGGGGGUUGGAAAGUUUCGGCGGUUGGGGAUGGACUCGCGGCUUAUCAGCUUGUUGGUGGGGUAGUGGCUUACCAAGGCUUUGACGGGUAGCCGGCCUGAGAGGGUGACCGGCCACAUUGGGACUGAGAUACGGCCCAGACUCCUACGGGAGGCAGCAGUGGAGAAUCUUGCACAAUGGGCGGAAGCCUGAUGCAGCAACGCCGCGUGCGGGAUGACGGCCUUCGGGUUGUAAACCGCUUUCGCCUGUGACGAAGCGUGAGUGACGGUAAUGGGUAAAGAAGCACCGGCUAACUACGUG
rnacentral:rRNA from 1 species